rnacentral:rRNA from 1 species
UAGCUCAACUAGUGGGCUGCCGAAAAUACUGUAGAACUAGGGAGUGGGAGAGGUAGACGGUAUUCGGUAGGAAGGGGUAAAAUCCUUUGAUCUAUUGAGGACCACCUGUGGCGAAGGCGGUCUACCAGAACACGUUCGACGGUGAGGGAUGAAAGCUGGGGGAGCAAACCGGAUUAGGUACCCGGGUAGUCCCAGCUGUAAACGAUGCAGACUCGGUGAUGCCCUGGCUUGUGGCCAGUGCAGUGCCGCAGGGAAGCCGUUAAGUUUGCCGCCUGGGAAGUACGUACGCAAGUAUGAAACUUAAAGGAAUUGGCGGGGGAGCACCACAAGGGGUGAAGCCUGCGGUUCAAUUGGAGUCAACGCCAGAAAUCUUACCCGAAGAGACAGCAGAAUGAAGGUCAAGCUGGAGACUUUACCAGACAAGCUGAGAAGUGGUGCAUGGCCGUCGCCAGCUCGUGCCGUGAGAUGUCCUGUUAAGUCAGGUAACGAGCGAGAUCCCUGCCUCUAGUUGCCACCAUUACUCUCAGGAGUAGUGGGGCGAAUUAGCGGGACCGCCGCAGUUAAUGCGGAGGAAGGAAGGGGCCACGGCAGGUCAGUAUGCCCCGAAA